AUUGAACGCUGGCGGCAGGCCUAACACAUGCAAGUCGAGCGGAUGAAGGGAGCUUGCUCCUGGAUUCAGCGGCGGACGGGUGAGUAAUGCCUAGGAAUCUGCCUGGUAGUGGGGGAUAACGUCCGGAAACGGGCGCUAAUACCGCAUACGUCUGAGGGAGGAAGUUGGGGAUUUUUGGACCUCACGCUUUUAGGUGAGCCUAGGUCGGAUUAGCUAGUUGGUGGGGUUAAGGCCUACCAAGGCGACGAUCCGUAACUGGGCUGAGAGGAUGAUCAGUCACACUGGAACUGAGACACGGUCCAGACUCCUACGGGAGGCAGCAGUGGGGAAUAUUGGGCAAUGGGCGAAAGCCUGAUCCAGCCAUGCCGCGUGUGUGAAGAAGGUCUUCGGAUUGUAAAGCACUUUAAGUUGGGAGGAAGGGCAGUAAGUUAAUACCUUGCUGUUUUGACGUUACCAACAGAAUAAGCACCGGCUAACUUCGUG
rnacentral:rRNA from 1 species